rnacentral:misc_RNA from 1 species
AGCUCUUCCUCUUGCCCACCACCAUCACCAAAACCAAAAGGCCCUUCACCUCAACCGAGUAACCCAUCGCCAAAGCCAAAAACCCCGGCACCAAGCAACCCAUCGCCAAAGCCAAAACUCCCUUCACCUCAACCAAGCAACCCAUCACCUAAACCAAGCAACCCAUCGCCUCCACCAUCAAACGGUGCUUGCCCUAGGGACACAUUAAAGCUUGGUGUA